AUGUAAACAGACGCCGACACGUCCAGUCCUCCACAGAACCGACCCGGAUCAAACCCACUGAGUCUGCUCUGAUUCUGGGUCCACCUGGUUCUGUAGAACAUAAGGAGGAUAAUAACAAGUCUUCACAUCAGGGCAGAGAGAGUGAGAGGGAGGGGAGAGAGACAGAGAGAGAGAGGGAGGAGAGAGAGAGGGGGAGAGAGGGGGGGGGGGAGAGAGGGAGAGAGAGAGAGGGGGAGAGAGAGGGGGAGAGGGGGGGAGAGGGGGGAGAGAGAGAGAGAGAGAGAGAGAGAGAGAGAGAGAGAGAGA